ACAAACACAGACCACCCACUGAAGUCUUGAUUAUUGAGCAUAAUUUCUGUUGCUUUGCUGUUGUGGUCGUCAAUCUUAAUGGCCUCCUCCACAGGUUAGAUUCAUCAUGUGCUGCACAACGGCGAAGCCAGAUUGACAACCACUUUAGGUCCAGUCCUAAAGACAGUUAAUUAAAUUUAUACGCGUUGGUUUGCUCGAAGAAAAGUAUGCAUAAAAGGAAGAAUAACAAUGAUGUUUGUAGGAUGGCUGAGGCUUCGUAACAUGCAUCUUGUUUUGUUCUUUUGGACAAGAACCAAAGUAACUCAUUUUUAAAAUAAAAUAAAAUAUGCAUUUUUAUGAAGACUUUGAUUAAGAUUGAACAAUGACUAAUGUCAAUAAAUGCAAAAUGCAGGAUCCCUGAAGAAAAAAAAAAAUUGUUGCAGAAAAUGAGCAAACAUCUAAGCAUGACUAAGCAUGUGAAGAGUGAAUGAGAAAAUUCAAACAAUGUGAAGAGUGGCAUGACUAAGCAUGUGAUGCCUGUGGUGGCAAGGAGGAACUAGCAACUCUAGCAACAAGCG
rnacentral:lncRNA from 1 species